CGGCCGCGGACGCGUGGCGCAGCGCGGCGUUCAGGUCGCCGCCGGGUCCCUCGCCGAUCGUCUCGGCGCCGGUGGC
rnacentral:tRNA from 1 species